CUAUAUGAAAAACCUAGUGGAAAAAUACUAUAAGGUUUUUCACGUAACAUUAACGUGAAAUCAUUUUUUUUGCCGGUACUCUUUCACAUUAUUUUUACGUGUGUCACGUAAAACGGGCCUAUGGAGGGGAAAAUUGAGGUUACGUGAUUUUUCACGUAGUAUCUACGUUUGGAUUUUUUUGAGUGAUAGCAUCGACGAAACUUCUUUUACUCGAGUGCGCGAAAUUUCUACGUGAUUAUUUUAGUAUGAAAAUUGAUGGCGAACGGUGAAGAUGCAGGGGGACUUGUGCUCGUCAAAUUUUAACAGAAAAAGUCAACUUCUGGACCUAGCAUUUUCUUAUCCGACGGCCACCGGAAUUCUGGCCGGUGCUGACAUAGGCGGUGAACUAAAGAUCUCCUUGAAGGCAAUUAGAAAACCUGGCAGUCUCCCUGACACCGAUUUCAUGCAUCGGAAUGGAAAUCACGGUCCGUGCCACUGUGGUUCUCGGCGCCAUCGAAAAUUUAAAAGCCAUCAAGUUGAUCAUUCCUGAGUGUGUCCCGAAGGAAUGCAAGUACGGGUUACAUCACUCGUGUUGGUGUCCGCUUAAUUUUAUUGUGGUUCCUUGAAAUAUACCUAUCGGUGGCGAUUUUCGUCGAGGAGACCAGGAUCAAGCACAUCGGGAUUAGCGAUUACCUGACGGAAGAACACGUCCCGCGACCUUGGGUAGACUAGACGUACGCGUUUCAUCUGAAUGUUUCCGGCAAGAGGCACAAAAUUAUGUUUUAGUUUAUACUGCAGGACUACAGGUGUUCUGAAGAUGCUAAUUGUGGUACCGUAUUAUCACGGAACAGAUUAUCAUGGCCACACCGGCCUGCAGGGAACAUCCGCUCUCGGUUCACACACUCACACUCCCUGACACACAACUUCCCACUCUGACAUCUAUCAGUCAACUGACAGAUCUUCAUGUGUCAGGAACCAUCUAUCCAAGGUUGGCAUAACAAGGUGUGCAUAACUAAAGGUCAGCACCACAUCUCGUUUUCUCUACAGACGGUAGACUACCGAUUACUGAAAACCUUGGACGCUUCUUGGGAACUGUUAUGUGCACUUUAAAUCUAGAUCUUUUUACCAAGUCUUAUCUAGUCUGGACCGAAACUCUCGUUUACGAUAAUGUUCGUUUUCAACAUACGUUUUCAUCAUGCAAAUAAUAGAAUGUCACACGUUCCACUUGAGAGCCUGAUUAGCUCUUAUUCAAAGCAAACUGUUUACUUCUGCAGUGCAUAUACCAACAGCAAAUUUCA